GAUGAACGCUAGCGGGAGGCCUAACACAUGCAAGCCGAGCGGUAUUGUUUCUUCGGAAAUGAGAGAGCGGCGUACGGGUGCGGAACACGUGUGUAACCUGCCUUUAUCUGGGGGAUGGCCCUUCGAAAGGAAGAUUAAUACUCCAUAAUAUAUUGAACGGCAUCGUUUAAUAUUGAAAGCUCCUGCGGAUAGAGAUGGGCACGCGCAAGAUUAGCUAGUUGGUGAGGUAACGGCUCACCAAGGCGAUGAUCUUUAGGGGGCCUGAGAGGGUGAUCCCCCACACUGGUACUGAGACACGGACCAGACUCCUACGGGAGGCAGCAGUGAGGAAUAUUGGUCAAUGGGUGCAAGCCUGAACCAGCCAUCCCGCGUGAAGGACGACUGCCCUAUGGGUUGUAAACUUCUUUUGUAUAGGGAUAAACCUACCCUCGUGAGGGUAGCUGAAGGUACUAUACGAAUAAGCACCGGCUAACUCCGUGCCAGCCGCCGCGGUAAAAC
rnacentral:rRNA from 1 species